GAUGAAGAACGCAGUGAAAUGCGAUAAGUAAUGUGAAUUGCAGAAUUCAUUGAAUCAUCGAAUCUUUGAACGCACAUUGCGCCCCCUGGUAUUCCGGGGGGCAUGCCUGUCCGAGCGUCAUUACAACCCUCAAGCUCAGCUUGGUGUUGGGCCCCGCCGCCCCGGCGGGCCCUAAAGUCAGUGGCGGUGCCGUCCGGCUCCGAGCGUAGUAAUUCUUCUCGCUCUGGAGGUCCGGUCGUGUGCUCGCCAGCAACCCCCAAUUUUUUUCAGGUUGACCUCGGAUCAGGUAGGGAUACCCGCUGAACUUAAGCAUAUCAAUAAGCGGAGGA
rnacentral:misc_RNA from 1 species